rnacentral:rRNA from 1 species
UUCCUACGGGGCGCAGCAGUGAGGAAUAUUGGUCAGUGGGCGGGAGCCUGAACCAGCCAAGUCGUGUGAGGGAAGACGGUCCUAUGGAUUGUAAACCUCUUUAGGCGGGGAGCAAUGCCGGGCACGCGUGUCCGGAGGGAGAGUACCCGCAGAAUAAGCAUCGGCUAACUCCGUGCCAGCAGCCGCGGUAAUACGGAGGAUGCGAGCGUUAUCCGGAUUUAUUGGGUUUAAAGGGUGCGUAGGUGGUUAAUUAAGUCAGCGGUGAAAGUUUGUGGCUCAACCAUAAAAUUG